rnacentral:lncRNA from 1 species
AUUUACCAGUUGCCUAAUUACGAAAAGUUUCAUAUGACAUUAACCUCAAAAAUGAUCUUUGAAAACAAACAACAACAAACAGAGCAACAAAUGAACAAAUAACUACAUAAUGACUGAUAAUGAUAAGUGAUAAAAAUAACUUUAAUGAUAUGAAGGCUGAUGAAGUUUUAGACAACCAAUACAAGAUUUAGAACUUGACAUCGUGAUAAACAAAUUGUACAUUCAGCAACUCGUUUAAAUAUUAUAGGUUGAUUGACGAAUACUCUACAGUUGAUUAGAGCCCAUGAUGAUGCGAAGAUAAUUAAUAUCACCUAACUUCAAGAAACCAGCAUAAAGAAGUUUACAUUCAUAACUCAUCUAACCAUUAUAGAUCAGUAAUGUCGUCAUAAUUUAAAUGAACUCACAGAUAGCAAUGGGGCACUGCACCGAAGCAGUAUUACAAAAUAUGUGAAAUAAAACUGUAAUACAAAUUGCUCUAUAAAAUUUAAUAGAAAUAAAUUUAUUUAUGAAAAUUAAGUUAUGAAGUUUUAUUUUUCCUAGGAAAAAAAUAACAUUUAUAUUUUGAUCAAUUUAGAACAUUACAGUUAAAAAAAUAUGUGUUAGAAUAACAUAUUUUUAAUAAAAUUGCAGCUUUUAAUUUUUAUACUUUUUUGCUUUUAUAUCAAUAAGAACUAACGUAAGGAACAAUUCAUAUUUAUACUAUGAAAACACAUGCAUAUUUUUUGAUGUUUUUAAAACCAGUGAAUGAUGUUGAAAUAUACUACACCUAUUAUUCUUAUUAACUAACUUUAAUUACAAACUUACACAUUAUUGUCAUUGGAAAUAAAUUAAUUUGGAUAUUCUA